rnacentral:rRNA from 1 species
UUCAGCUCAAUAGCGUAUAUUAAAGUUGUUGCAGUUAAAAAGCUCGUAGUUGGAUCUAGGGACGCGCAUUUCAAGCGCCCGUGCCAUCGGGUCAAACCGGUGGCAUGCGAUUGGCGUUGCGGGCUCGGUCCGUCGGUGCCCCACNAAGGGCUAUCGGACGUGUCAACCGGCCCGCCCGUCCCCUCCUUCUGGCUUCCCGUUCCUGCUAUUGAGUUAGUGGGGACGUCACAGGGGGCUCAUCGUCGUGCGGGCCAAACCGUGCGGCGGUGGGUCCCUGGGGCCCAGAUCGUUUACCGUGAAAAAAUUANAGUGUUCAAAGCANGCAGAUCCAAUUUUCUGCCACCGAAUACAUUAGCAUGGGAUAAUGGAAUAGGACCCUGUCCUCCUAUUUUCAGUUGGUUUUGGCAGCGCNAGGACUAGRGUAAUGAUUAAUAKGGAUAGUUGGGGGCAUUARUAUUUAAUUGUCAGAGGUGAAAUUACUUAGGAUGUURUKAAAGAYUAACUUAUGCGAAAGCAUYUGCCAAGGAUGUUUUCAUUAAKCAAGAACGAAAGUUAGGGGAUCRAAGACGAUCAGAUACCGUCSUAGUCUUAACCAUAAACUAUGCCGANUAGGGAUCGGAGGCGCNCNUUAUCNGCCUUAGGCGCCUUAUGAGAAAUCAAAGUCUUUGGAGUUCUGGGGGGAGUAUGGUCGCAAGGCUGAAACUUAACAGGAAUUGACGGAAGGGCACCACCAGGAGUGGAGCUUGCGGCUCAAUUUGACUCAACACGGGAAAACUUACCAGGUCCAGACAUAGCUGAGGAUUGMCCAAGACUUGCAUAGACGUCNUAUWUCCUUGAUUYGUAUGGAGYGGUGGUGGCAUGSCCGUGUCUUAGUUGGCUGGAGUGAUUYGUCUGGUUMAUUCCGUYWACYGAACGAGMCUCUUANCGCUACUAACUAGUCKAUCACGYAUGCUKACGCGGMCAGCGACUUMUKACGAGGGRCUUUGUGACUAAACACAANGAAGUUUGAGGCAAUAACAGGUCUGUNAUGCCCUUAGAUGUCCUGGGCCNCACGCNUGCUACACUGACGCAUACAGCNAGUACUUCCCANCUCCGUGAGGCAGCUGGCUAAUCAGCAAUNNGCGUCGUUGAUGGGNAUAGAUCUUUGANAAUUAUAGAUCUUGAACGAGGAAUCUCCUAGAUAAGCGCAAGNCAUUACCUUGCGCUGAAUUAAGNCCCUGCCCUNUGUACACACCGCCCGUUCGCUCCUACCGUAU